rnacentral:rRNA from 1 species
GGUUCAGAACGUCGUGAGACAGUUCGGUCUCUAUCUGCUGUGGGCGUUAGAAAUUUGCGUGGAUCUGACUCUAGUACGAGAGGACCGAGUUGGACGAACCUCUAGUGUACCAGUUGUCUCGCCAGGGGCAUGGCUGGGUAGCUACGUUCGGAAGGGAUAAGCGCUGAAAGCAUAUAAGCGCGAAACCCACCACAAGAUGAGAUUUCUUUAAAGGGUCGUUGGAGAUGACAACGUUGAUAGGCUAUAGGUGUAAGUGCAGUAAUGUAUGUAGCCGAGUAGUACUAAUAACCCGU